AGUGAACGCUGGCGGUAGGCCUAACACAUGCAAGUCGAACGGCAGCACAGUAAGAGCUUGCUCUUACGGGUGGCGAGUGGCGGACGGGUGAGGAAUACAUCGGAAUCUACUUUUUCGUGGGGGAUAACGUAGGGAAACUUACGCUAAUACCGCAUACGACCUACGGGUGAAAGCAGGGGAUCUUCGGACCUUGCGCGAUUGAAUGAGCCGAUGUCGGCUUAGCUAGUUGGCGGGGUAAAGGCCCACCAAGGCGACGAUCCGUAGCUGGUCUGAGAGGAUGAUCAGCCACACUGGAACUGAGACACGGUCCAGACUCCUACGGGAGGCAGCAGUGGGGAAUAUUGGACAAUGGGCGCAAGCCUGAUCCAGCCAUACCGCGUGGGUGAAGAAGGCCUUCGGGUUGUAAAGCCCUUUUGUUGGGAAAGAAAAGCAGCAGGUUAAUACCCCGCUGUUCUGACGGUACCCAAAGAAUAAGCACCGGCUAGCUUCGUG
rnacentral:rRNA from 1 species